rnacentral:tRNA from 1 species
CAAGAAAUAGUUUAUUUAAAAUUUUAAUUUUGGAGAUUAAAGAUAUAAUUUUAUUAUUUUUUUGA